AUUGAACGCUGGCGGCAGGCCUAGCACAUGCAAGUCGAACGGUAACAGGAAACAGCUUGCUGUUUCGCUGACGAGUGGCGGACGGGUGAGUAAUGUCUGGGAAACUGCCUGAUGGAGGGGGAUAACUACUGGAAACGGUAGCUAAUACCGCAUAACGUCGCAAGACCAAAGAGGGGGACCUUCGGGCCUCUUGCCAUCGGAUGUGCCCAGAUGGGAUUAGCUAGUAGGUGGGGUAACGGCUCACCUAGGCGACGAUCCCUAGCUGGUCUGAGAGGAUGACCAGCCACACUGGAACUGAGACACGGUCCAGACUCCUACGGGAGGCAGCAGUGGGGAAUAUUGCACAAUGGGCGCAAGCCUGAUGCAGCCAUGCCGCGUGUAUGAAGAAGGCCUUCGGGUUGUAAAGUACUUUCAGCGGGGAGGAAGGGAGUAAAGUUAAUACCUUGACUCAUUGACGUUACCCGCAGAAGAAGCACCGGCUAACUCCGUG
rnacentral:rRNA from 1 species